rnacentral:rRNA from 1 species
GCCUUAUACAUGCAAGUCGAACGAAGUAGCAAUACUUAGUGGCAGACGGGUGAGUAACAUGUAGGUAUCUACCCUUUGGUGAGGAAUAACACGAGGAAACUUGUGCUAAUACCUCAUAAGUCUUUACGGAGAAAGCUUUAUGCGCCGAAGGAUGAGCCUGCACUUGAUUAGUUUGUUGGUGGGGUAAUGGCCUACCAAGACUUUGAUCUAUAGCUGAUCUGAGAGGAUGAUCAGCCACAUUGGGACUGAGACACGGCCCAAACUCCUACGGGAGGCAGCAGUAGGGAAUAUUGCACAAUGGAGGAAACUCUGAUGCAGCGAUGCCGCGUGAGUGAAGAAGGCCUUUGGGUUGUAAAGCUCUUUCGUCGGGGAAGAAAAUGACUGUACCCGAAUAAGAAGGUCCGGCUAACUUCGUGCCAGCAGCCGCGGUAAUACGAAGGGACCUAGCGUAGUUCGGAAUUACUGGGCUUAAAGAGUUCGUAGGUGGUUAAAAAAGUUGGUGGUGAAAUCCCAGAGCUUAACUCUGGAACUGCCAUCAAAACUUUUUAGCUAGAGUAUGAUAGAGGAAAGCAGAAUUUCUAGUGUAGAGGUGAAAUUCGUAGAUAUUAGAAAGAAUACCAAUUGCGAAGGCAGCUUUCUGGAUCAUUACUGACGCUGAGGAACGAAAGCAUGGGUAGCGAAGAGGAUUAGAUACCCUCGUAGUCCAUGCCGUAAACGAUGUGUGUUAGACGUUGGAAAUUUAUUUUCAGUGUCGCAGCGAAAGCGUUAAACACACCGCCUGGGGAGUACG